AGCAGAGUGGCGCAGCGGAAGCGUGCUGUGCCCAUAACCCAGAGUUCGAUGGUUCGAAACCAUCCUCUGCUA
rfam:Ciona savignyi cont_33083, whole genome shotgun sequence.